GUUGGUGGAGGACGGCCGGCGGAUGCGGCGGAAGGAGGGCAGGUACUGGAGGUGGUAGCAGGAGUCUAUGUAGUUGAGCGGGGGCCCGCUGAUCUCGAGCUUCGUGAUCGCCCGCAGGUGGUGGGUUGGGAUGGAGAUGGAGAGGGCGAGCAGGGUUAUGAGGUCCAUCUGGAACGUGAGGUGCCUGUAUAGCACGGUGAUUGCCUCGGUGUAGCUGUUUUGUUGUGUUGUGUUGUGGUUUUGUUACUUGAGUGUUAGUACUGCAUUGUAACCUGGUAGAAAGGCUCUCCGAGUGGGAUAGUAUAUGUAUAUAUCACAGCACAUGGCAAGAAGAAGAGAAGAAAAGAAAGAAAAGAAAGAAAAGAAAGAAAAGAAAGAAAAGAAAGAAAAGAUAGAGAAGAAAGAAAAGAUAGAAAAGAAAGAAA
rnacentral:sRNA from 1 species